rnacentral:misc_RNA from 1 species
AACGCACGAGACCUGCGGACCUGCGGAAGGAUCAUUAAUGAGAAGCUGCCCCUCGUGGGUAGACCUCCCACCCUCUGUGAACUUACCUUUGUUGCUUUGGCAGGCCCGUCCUCUGGACCGCCGGCUUCGGCUGGCCCGUGCCUGCCAGAGGAUUCCAAACCCUGUCUGUUAGUGUUGUCUGAGUCUAUAUGAAAUCGUUAAAACUUUUAACAAUGGAUCUCUAGAUCGGAAGAGCACACG